AAUAGAUACCCGGGUAGUCCACGCCGUAAAACGAUGGAUGCUAGCCGUUGUCGGGUUUACUCGUCAGUGGCGCAGCUAACGCAUUAAGCAUCCCGCCUGGGGAGUACGGUCGCAAGAUUAAAACUCAAAGGAAUUGACGGGGGCCCGCACAAGCGGUGGAGCAUGUGGUUCAAUUCGAAGCAACGCGCAGAACCUUACCAGCUCUAGACUACACGGUCGCGAGCACCAGAGAUGGAGCUCUUCAGUUCGGCUGGACCGUGUUCAGGUGCUGCAUGGCUGUCGUCAGCCCGUGUCGUGAGAUGUUGGGUUAAGUCCCGCAACGAGCGCAACCCUCGCCCUUAGCUGCCAUCAUUCAGUUGGGCACUCUAAGGGGACUGCCGGUGAUAAGCCGCGAGGAAGUGGGAUGACGUCAAGUCCUCAUGGCCCUUACGGGCUGGGCUACACACGUGCUACAAUGGCGGUGACAGUGGACGCAAUGGGGCAACCUGCGCAAAUCUCAAAAAGCCGUCUCUACG
rnacentral:rRNA from 1 species